rnacentral:rRNA from 1 species
GGUUAAGCGACUAAGCGUACACGGUGGAUGCCCUGGCAGUCAGAGGCGAUGAAGGACGUGCUAAUCUGCGAUAAGCGUCGGUAAGGUGAUAUGAACCGUUAUAACCGGCGAUUUCCGAAUGGGGAAACCCAGUGUGUUUCGACACACUAUCAUUAACUGAAUCCAUAGGUUAAUGAGGCGAACCGGGGGAACUGAAACAUCUAAGUACCCCGAGGAAAAGAAAUCAACCGAGAUUCCCCCAGUAGCGGCGAGCGAACGGGGAGCAGCCCAGAGCCUGAAUCAGUGUGUGUGUUAGUGGAAGCGUCUGGAAAGGCGCGCGAUACAGGGUGACAGCCCCGUACACAAAAAUGCACAUGCUGUGAGCUCGAUGAGUAGGGCGGGACACGUGGUAUCCUGUCUGAAUAUGGGGGGACCAUCCUCCAAGGCUAAAUACUCCUGACUGACCGAUAGUGAACCAGUACCGUGAGGGAAAGGCGAAAAGAACCCCGGCGAGGGGAGUGAAAAAGAACCUGAAACCGUGUACGUACAAGCAGUGGGAGCACGCUUAGGCGUGUGACUGCGUACCUUUUGUAUAAUGGGUCAGCGACUUAUAUUCUGUAGCAAGGUUAACCGAAUAGGGGAGCCGAAGGGAAACCGAGUCUUAACUGGGCGUUAAGUUGCAGGGUAUAGACCCGAAACCCGGUGAUCUAGCCAUGGGCAGGUUGAAGGUUGGGUAACACUAACUGGAGGACCGAACCGACUAAUGUUGAAAAAUUAGCGGAUGACUUGUGGCUGGGGGUGAAAGGCCAAUCAAACCGGGAGAUAGCUGGUUCUCCCCGAAAGCUAUUUAGGUAGCGCCUCGUGAAUUCAUCUCCGGGGGUAGAGCACUGUUUCGGCAAGGGGGUCAUCCCGACUUACCAACCCGAUGCAAACUGCGAAUACCGGAGAAUGUUAUCACGGGAGACACACGGCGGGUGCUAACGUCCGUCGUGAAGAGGGAAACAACCCAGACCGCCAGCUAAGGUCCCAAAGUCAUGGUUAAGUGGGAAACGAUGUGGGAAGGCCCAGACAGCCAGGAUGUUGGCUUAGAAGCAGCCAUCAUUUAAAGAAAGCGUAAUAGCUCACUGGUCGAGUCGGCCUGCGCGGAAGAUGUAACGGGGCUAAACCAUGCACCGAAGCUGCGGCAGCGACGCUUAUGCGUUGUUGGGUAGGGGAGCGUUCUGUAAGCCUGUGAAGGUGUGCUGUGAGGCAUGCUGGAGGUAUCAGAAGUGCGAAUGCUGACAUAAGUAACGAUAAAGCGGGUGAAAAGCCCGCUCGCCGGAAGACCAAGGGUUCCUGUCCAACGUUAAUCGGGGCAGGGUGAGUCGACCCCUAAGGCGAGGCCGAAAGGCGUAGUCGAUGGGAAACAGGUUAAUAUUCCUGUACUUGGUGUUACUGCGAAGGGGGGACGGAGAAGGCUAUGUUGGCCGGGCGACGGUUGUCCCGGUUUAAGCGUGUAGGCUGGUUUUCCAGGCAAAUCCGGAAAAUCAAGGCUGAGGCGUGAUGACGAGGCACUACGGUGCUGAAGCAACAAAUGCCCUGCUUCCAGGAAAAGCCUCUAAGCAUCAGGUAACAUCAAAUCGUACCCCAAACCGACACAGGUGGUCAGGUAGAGAAUACCAAGGCGCUUGAGAGAACUCGGGUGAAGGAACUAGGCAAAAUGGUGCCGUAACUUCGGGAGAAGGCACGCUGAUAUGUAGGUGAAGUCCCUCGCGGAUGGAGCUGAAAUCAGUCGAAGAUACCAGCUGGCUGCAACUGUUUAUUAAAAACACAGCACUGUGCAAACACGAAAGUGGACGUAUACGGUGUGACGCCUGCCCGGUGCCGGAAGGUUAAUUGAUGGGGUCAGCGGUAACGCGAAGCUCUUGAUCGAAGCCCCGGUAAACGGCGGCCGUAACUAUAACGGUCCUAAGGUAGCGAAAUUCCUUGUCGGGUAAGUUCCGACCUGCACGAAUGGCGUAAUGAUGGCCAGGCUGUCUCCACCCGAGACUCAGUGAAAUUGAACUCGCUGUGAAGAUGCAGUGUACCCGCGGCAAGACGGAAAGACCCCGUGAACCUUUACUAUAGCUUGACACUGAACAUUGAGCCUUGAUGUGUAGGAUAGGUGGGAGGCUUUGAAGUGUGGACGCCAGUCUGCAUGGAGCCGACCUUGAAAUACCACCCUUUAAUGUUUGAUGUUCUAACGUUGACCCGUGAUCCGGGUUGCGGACAGUGUCUGGUGGGUAGUUUGACUGGGGCGGUCUCCUCCUAAAGAGUAACGGAGGAGCACGAAGGUUGGCUAAUCCUGGUCGGACAUCAGGAGGUUAGUGCAAUGGCAUAAGCCAGCUUGACUGCGAGCGUGACGGCGCGAGCAGGUGCGAAAGCAGGUCAUAGUGAUCCGGUGGUUCUGAAUGGAAGGGCCAUCGCUCAACGGAUAAAAGGUACUCCGGGGAUAACAGGCUGAUACCGCCCAAGAGUUCAUAUCGACGGCGGUGUUUGGCACCUCGAUGUCGGCUCAUCACAUCCUGGGGCUGAAGUAGGUCCCAAGGGUAUGGCUGUUCGCCAUUUAAAGUGGUACGCGAGCUGGGUUUAGAACGUCGUGAGACAGUUCGGUCCCUAUCUGCCGUGGGCGCUGGAGAACUGAGGGGGGCUGCUCCUAGUACGAGAGGACCGGAGUGGACGCAUCACUGGUGUUCGGGUUGUCAUGCCAAUGGCACUGCCCGGUAGCUAAAUGCGGAAGAGAUAAGUGCUGAAAGCAUCUAAGCACGAAACUUGCCCCGAGAUGAGUUCUCCCUGACCCUUUAAGGGUCCUGAAGGAACGUUGAAGACGACGACGUUGAUAGGCCGGGUGUGUAAGCGCAGCGAUGCGUUGAGCUAACCGGUACUAAUGAACCGUGAGGCUUAACCUU